rnacentral:rRNA from 1 species
GACGAACGCUGGCGGCGUGCUUAACACAUGCAAGUCGAACGGAAAGGCCCUGCUUUUGUGGGGUGCUCGAGUGGCGAACGGGUGAGUAACACGUGGUUAACCUGCCCUUGACUUUGGGAUAACUUCAGGAAACUGGGGCUAAUACCGGAUAGGAGCUCCUGCUGCAUGGUGGGGGUUGGAAAGUUUCGGCGGUUGGGGAUGGACUCGCGGCUUAUCAGCUUGUUGGUGGGGUAGUGGCUUACCAAGGCUUUGACGGGUAGCCGGCCUGAGAGGGUGACCGGCCACAUUGGGACUGAGAUACGGCCCAGACUCCUACGGGAGGCAGCAGUGGGGAAUAUUGCACAAUGGGCGGAAGCCUGAUGCAGCAACGCCGCGUGCGGGAUGACGGCCUUCGGGUUGUAAACCGCUUUCGCCUGUGACGAAGCGUGAGUGACGGUAAUGGGUAAAGAAGCACCGGCUAACUACGUG